UAUGUCCCCGUGCUGUGAUGUGGGCCAUCAUCGGGACGGCCGUUCAUGUAUGAUGUUUGAGCCGUGGCUCGGAACGUCAACGCCAAUGCUGAUCCGUGGACAGAAAACGUGCUUUCCGUCCUCGUGGGGCCGGGGCACAGUUAUGGUAUAGGUCUGGGUUCCUAGUCGAUGCACAUUUUCAUUGCGAUAGAGCAGAGCAGAUAAGAUAAGGUUCGUGUUGCUCGAAGGGCAGGCGCCUGAAGAAGACGACACCAUUGAUGGGGAUGGGAUUCCUACGGCAGCUAAUCAGCCGAUUCCCACUGAUUGAAGCGGUGGACGACACUGAAUGCAUGUGAGAUCCGCUGCGGCGAAUGGCUGCCUUGACGGUUGUUGGUAUGGAUCAGGUGCCGGGGCCGGCCGCGAGUGCAGACGCACAGAUCUGCUCGAGCGUGGUGUGGUUGGCAGAAGGAAGAACUCGUCGCCGCCCUCGCAGGUCUCCACGGGAAGGCCAGCCCACAAGCUCCUCGGUGGUUAAAGAGGCUGAGGAACUUUCUGCAGAACGGCUGCUUCUUCAGUGCCCAAGCUUGAAAGAUGUUCAUGUCUAUCGAUGUUGUGAUAUGUUGAUCGGAGCAAUCAGAAACGAGGUGAGCCGUGGAUCAGGUUCUCGAUUUCUGUCUAAUCUGUGGCUCAGAAAAGUCGAUGCUCCAUGGAUUCAAUGCAAGGUGAGUCUGUUCUUCCCCAACGCGGCCGUCAUUUUGGAACUUCAGAAGCAAGGGAGGGAGUGGACGAACACACGACCGGAAGCGAUGGAUUUCCUCCUCCAAUCAGGAGAUCUACUCUGAUUGAGGUUGGGGAGAGUCUAGUGCUGGAAGGUCGCCGGCACAUGGCACCAGGCGGACAGUGGUCAAGGUGACGCUGCAGGAGGCCAUGGGUGUGAGCGCCAAAGGGCGGAUCUGCGGCGUUGCUGAAGCGGCGGCAGUGACAAGGGGCAGCUUGCCUCUCACUUCCGAGCUGUCGACGGGGAAGAUGAAUUUUCAGGUUCCUCGUUGGAACAAGAGGUUGAGGACUGGAGCCUCUGCCCCAAGCUUCACGCCUUGCCCACCCCGCAUAAGCACUUUUGAGAAGGCAGUUAGGGUGUUCAUAGAAAACCUGACUGAAGAUGGGUCAUGGCUUGUAAUUUGGUGGUGGUAAUCUGGUCCGUGGGCCAGGAAAUUCGUUUUACAUUAGGUGGAUGGCUUGAAUCAUUCACUGCAGGCCGGUGGCUCCCCAGCUGCGGUAUCCAAAUCCAUUUCCAGUCAGCGGGGUGCUCCAGCGCACACGAAUCCAUUCGAGCGAUGGAGUUCCAAAUGCAGCUAAUUAGAAGGUAUCCUCUGGUGGAGGAGGUGAGUGAGAGUGACCAGGAGAGGGGAUCUGCCAACAAGCAGGGCGGCUUGUCCGGCAGAUGUGUGAGUUACAGACCGCCGUGUUGGGAAGGCAGAAGAGCCCGCUGCAGCAGUCUAAACUAUCAACUGAUCAAAAUCGAGCAGCGGAGGUCGCAAUCAAGAGUGUGAUGCUUGUUGGUGUGCCUACGGCGAGAACUACUUACCCGGAUCUCGGCGAUGUGCCAAAGCAGCCUCGGAAGCCGGCGAGUUGCAAAAAUUGUGGUGUGGUGGGGCACCAUAGGAACAAUUUUACGAAAGCGAUGGAGCUGAGAUUAGCUGGUGGCGUGUAAGUGGUGAGUGAAAAAUGGCAAGCGAUUUCAGUAAGUUUGAAUUGUCAAUCGCAAGCAUGACUUGUUUUCUGCAUUCAUGAGGGCAUGUACAGCGGAGGCAUCACCAUGCGUAUGCCCCAACGAAUCCACGCAAGCCUGAAGGAAUGAAACCACCGUCUUACAAUAUUCUGGGCAAUGGAGGCACUAGUCUGUGGUCCAGAUUUUGCAGUGACUCUGUUUCUUUCCUACGUCAAGCACACCGGGUCUUCUCUUGCUUUUUUCGUGCAUACUCCUCUUUUCUCUUCUCUCUCUUUGCUUUUCACAUGAGGAGGCUGGCUCUUCUGCAAGCAUCACCUUUGGUCUGCAGGCAACACCUUUCGCUGAGCUGGGCUCGUUAAGACAGACGUGGCAGCUGAUGUUUUUGUGCAACUGAGCACCUGCCCUGCGUGCAGGCAUGCUUUAUGUCUCGGAUCAGUUUGCUGGCGUUGCGUCGGGUGUGAUGUAAUCCAUCUCCAAGUUUGUUGUUCUGGCGUAGUUAAUUAAGAUUCGUAAUCAUCA